rnacentral:rRNA from 1 species
CCUACGGGAGGCAGCAGUGGGGAAUAUUGGACAAUGGGGGCAACCCUGAUCCAGCAAUACCACGUGUGUGAAGAAGGCCUUAGGGUUGUAAAGCACUUUAGUUCGUGAGGAAGGCUAUCAGGUUAAGAGCUGGAUAGUUUGACGUUAGCGAAAGAAUAAGCACCGGCAAACUCCGUGCCAGCAGCCGCGGUAAU